UCAGCUAACCCGGCCUGCAGUUCUGCAUUCGAACAUACAGCAGGCAGCUGGAAACCUCAGGUUCAAAUGGAAAAACUCACUACAACCUGGGGUUUCAAAUUGGAGUUUGGCAAGGAAAACAUCGGGUUGCUUUUCAUAUGGAAACGGAAUUUCAAGCAUUCAGACAUUCAGCUGCAUCAGAUUGCUGACUCAUUUUCAGCCUGUGAUUGCCUACAAUUGACGGGUCUUUGUGGGUCUAUUCUUUUCUAUGCACUAGAUUUCCCAAGGUUCUGUAGAAAUGAUAGGACUUGUUCUGAGAAGUGGUUCCAUAUGGGUGCACCCAUCCAGGACCAACAGGAAACCCAAGUGAAUCCGAUUGGGCCCAACCAACCAAAGCUGCUUGCAGCAUUGGAGUCAUAACGUCUGGCAGUGAAAUUCAACCUUGAAGGUAGCAAUUGCCAUCAAACUGCACCAGGAAGGAGAUUCCCAAGUCUGAGAUUGGUAGUUCAAGUUGCUGUGCUAGUAGCUCCGGGUUUUGCUGCAGGGAUGAAGAUCAUAAUAAUGUUGCAGACAUUCUAGGAAGGUGCCAGGAAAAAAAUGUCUCCAGUUGUCCUUUUGUUUUUGAUUAUUCAUCUUCCAAGCAAGGCAGCUUGUACCAUCAUGAGCUCAUUCCAUCCUCCUGGAAAAAUGCUGCAGAAUCAAAGAAUUUGUCUCUGGAGCUGUUAAAAAAUGCAGACUAUAGUUGUUUAUAGCCAGGCCAAGAGAAUUCUGCCCCUCCCUUUGUUACAUGGAAUAAAGCAUGUUAAUCUCAA